rnacentral:rRNA from 1 species
AUUGAACGCUGGCGGUAGGCUUAACACAUGCAAGUCGAGCGGGGUGAUGGUGCUUGCACUAUCACUUAGCGGCGGACGGGUGAGUAAUGCUUAGGAAUCUGCCUAUUAGUGGGGGACAACAUCUCGAAAGGGAUGCUAAUACCGCAUACGUCCUACGGGAGAAAGCAGGGGAUCACUUGUGACCUUGCGCUAAUAGAUGAGCCUAAGUCGGAUUAGCUAGUUGGUGGGGUAAAGGCCUACCAAGGCGACGAUCUGUAGCGGGUCUGAGGGGAUGAUCCGCCACACUGGGACUGAGACACGGCCCAGACUCCUACGGGAGGCAGCAGUGGGGAAUAUUGGACAAUGGGGGGAACCCUGAUCCAGCCAUGCCGCGUGUGUGAAGAAGGCCUUAUGGUUGUAAAGCACUUUAAGCGAGGAGGAGGCUCUUUUGGUUAAUACCCAAGAUGAGUGGACGUUACUCGCAGAAUAAGCACCGGCUAACUCUGUGCCAGCAGCCGCGGUAA